GGGUUGUGAGGUUAAGCGACUAAGCGUACACGGUGGAUGCCCUGGCAGUCAGAGGCGAUGAAGGACGUGCUAAUCUGCGAUAAGCGUCGGUAAGGUGAUAUGAACCGUUAUAACCGGCGAUUUCCGAAUGGGGAAACCCAGUGUGUUUCGACACACUAUCAUUAACUGAAUCCAUAGGUUAAUGAGGCGAACCGGGGGAACUGAAACAUCUAAGUACCCCGAGGAAAAGAAAUCAACCGAGAUUCCCCCAGUAGCGGCGAGCGAACGGGGAGCAGCCCAGAGCCUGAAUCAGUAUGUGUGUUAGUGGAAGCGUCUGGAAAGGCGCGCGAUACAGGGUGACAGCCCCGUACACAAAAAUGCACAUAUUGUGAGCUCGAUGAGUAGGGCGGGACACGUGGUAUCCUGUCUGAAUAUGGGGGGACCAUCCUCCAAGGCUAAAUACUCCUGACUGACCGAUAGUGAACCAGUACCGUGAGGGAAAGGCGAAAAGAACCCCGGCGAGGGGAGUGAAAAAGAACCUGAAACCGUGUACGUACAAGCAGUGGGAGCACGCUUAGGCGUGUGACUGCGUACCUUUUGUAUAAUGGGUCAGCGACUUAUAUUCUGUAGCAAGGUUAACCGAAUAGGGGAGCCGAAGGGAAACCGAGUCUUAACUGGGCGUUAAGUUGCAGGGUAUAGACCCGAAACCCGGUGAUCUAGCCAUGGGCAGGUUGAAGGUUGGGUAACACUAACUGGAGGACCGAACCGACUAAUGUUGAAAAAUUAGCGGAUGACUUGUGGCUGGGGGUGAAAGGCCAAUCAAACCGGGAGAUAGCUGGUUCUCCCCGAAAGCUAUUUAGGUAGCGCCUCGUGAAUUCAUCUCCGGGGGUAGAGCACUGUUUCGGCAAGGGGGUCAUCCCGACUUACCAACCCGAUGCAAACUGCGAAUACCGGAGAAUGUUAUCACGGGAGACACACGGCGGGUGCUAACGUCCGUCGUGAAGAGGGAAACAACCCAGACCGCCAGCUAAGGUCCCAAAGUCAUGGUUAAGUGGGAAACGAUGUGGGAAGGCCCAGACAGCCAGGAUGUUGGCUUAGAAGCAGCCAUCAUUUAAAGAAAGCGUAAUAGCUCACUGGUCGAGUCGGCCUGCGCGGAAGAUGUAACGGGGCUAAACCAUGCACCGAAGCUGCGGCAGCGACACUAUGUGUUGUUGGGUAGGGGAGCGUUCUGUAAGCCUGUGAAGGUGUGCUGUGAGGCAUGCUGGAGGUAUCAGAAGUGCGAAUGCUGACAUAAGUAACGAUAAAGCGGGUGAAAAGCCCGCUCGCCGGAAGACCAAGGGUUCCUGUCCAACGUUAAUCGGGGCAGGGUGAGUCGACCCCUAAGGCGAGGCCGAAAGGCGUAGUCGAUGGGAAACAGGUUAAUAUUCCUGUACUUGGUGUUACUGCGAAGGGGGGACGGAGAAGGCUAUGUUGGCCGGGCGACGGUUGUCCCGGUUUAAGCGUGUAGGCUGGUUUUCCAGGCAAAUCCGGAAAAUCAAGGCUGAGGCGUGAUGACGAGGCACUACGGUGCUGAAGCAACAAAUGCCCUGCUUCCAGGAAAAGCCUCUAAGCAUCAGGUAACAUCAAAUCGUACCCCAAACCGACACAGGUGGUCAGGUAGAGAAUACCAAGGCGCUUGAGAGAACUCGGGUGAAGGAACUAGGCAAAAUGGUGCCGUAACUUCGGGAGAAGGCACGCUGAUAUGUAGGUGAAGUCCCUCGCGGAUGGAGCUGAAAUCAGUCGAAGAUACCAGCUGGCUGCAACUGUUUAUUAAAAACACAGCACUGUGCAAACACGAAAGUGGACGUAUACGGUGUGACGCCUGCCCGGUGCCGGAAGGUUAAUUGAUGGGGUUAGCCGCAAGGCGAAGCUCUUGAUCGAAGCCCCGGUAAACGGCGGCCGUAACUAUAACGGUCCUAAGGUAGCGAAAUUCCUUGUCGGGUAAGUUCCGACCUGCACGAAUGGCGUAAUGAUGGCCAGGCUGUCUCCACCCGAGACUCAGUGAAAUUGAACUCGCUGUGAAGAUGCAGUGUACCCGCGGCAAGACGGAAAGACCCCGUGAACCUUUACUAUAGCUUGACACUGAACAUUGAGCCUUGAUGUGUAGGAUAGGUGGGAGGCUUAGAAGUGUGGACGCCAGUCUGCAUGGAGCCGACCUUGAAAUACCACCCUUUAAUGUUUGAUGUUCUAACGUUGACCCGUAAUCCGGGUUGCGGACAGUGUCUGGUGGGUAGUUUGACUGGGGCGGUCUCCUCCUAAAGAGUAACGGAGGAGCACGAAGGUUGGCUAAUCCUGGUCGGACAUCAGGAGGUUAGUGCAAUGGCAUAAGCCAGCUUGACUGCGAGCGUGACGGCGCGAGCAGGUGCGAAAGCAGGUCAUAGUGAUCCGGUGGUUCUGAAUGGAAGGGCCAUCGCUCAACGGAUAAAAGGUACUCCGGGGAUAACAGGCUGAUACCGCCCAAGAGUUCAUAUCGACGGCGGUGUUUGGCACCUCGAUGUCGGCUCAUCACAUCCUGGGGCUGAAGUAGGUCCCAAGGGUAUGGCUGUUCGCCAUUUAAAGUGGUACGCGAGCUGGGUUUAGAACGUCGUGAGACAGUUCGGUCCCUAUCUGCCGUGGGCGCUGGAGAACUGAGGGGGGCUGCUCCUAGUACGAGAGGACCGGAGUGGACGCAUCACUGGUGUUCGGGUUGUCAUGCCAAUGGCACUGCCCGGUAGCUAAAUGCGGAAGAGAUAAGUGCUGAAAGCAUCUAAGCACGAAACUUGCCCCGAGAUGAGUUCUCCCUGAC
rnacentral:rRNA from 1 species